CACGUAGGGGCGAGCGUUGUCCGGAUUUACUGGGUGUAAAGGGAGCGCAGACGGAACUGCAAGUCUGAUGUGAAAGCCCGGGGCUCAACCGCGGGACUGCAUUGGAAACUGUAGAUCUGGAGUGCCGGAGGGGCAAGCGGAAUUCCUGGUGUAGCGGUGAAAUGCGUAGAUAUCAGGAGGAACACCGGCGGCGAAGGCGGCUUGCUGGACGGCAACUGACGUUGAGGCUCGAAAGCGUGGGGAGCAAACAGGAUUAGAUACCCGGGUAGUCCCU
rnacentral:rRNA from 1 species